AGUUAUUGAACUUGAAAAGUGUAUAUUUUGAAAAUAUAAAAUAGAAGUAGGAAUCUUCUAAUAACUU
rnacentral:tRNA from 1 species